rnacentral:rRNA from 1 species
GACGAACGCUGGCGGCGUGCCUAAUACAUGCAAGUUGAGCGCUGAAGGUUGGUACUUGUACCAACUGGAUGAGCAGCGAACGGGUGAGUAACGCGUGGGGAAUCUGCCUUUGAGCGGGGGACAACAUUUGGAAACGAAUGCUAAUACCGCAUAAAAACUUUAAACACAAGUUUUAAGUUUGAAAGAUGCAAUUGCAUCACUCAAAGAUGAUCCCGCGUUGUAUUAGCUAGUUGGUGAGGUAAAGGCUCACCAAGGCGAUGAUACAUAGCCGACCUGAGAGGGGGAUCGGCCACAUUGGGACGGAGACACGGCCCAAACGGCUACGGGAGGGAGCAGUAGGGAAUCUUCGGCAAGGGACGAAAGUCUGACCGAGAAACGCCGAGUGAGUGAAGAAGGUUGUCGGAUCGUAAAACUCGGUUGGUAGAGAAGAACGUGGGUGAGAGUGGAAAGCUCAUCAAGUGACGGUAACUACCCAGAGAGAGACGGCUAACUACGUG